rnacentral:lncRNA from 1 species
GAUAAGUAUCGAUUUUAUGUUUGAUUAAAAUCUGUGAUUGUGUGUUGUCUAUAUUACAUGCAAGUGAUCAUGGCUAUUUGCUUCCGUUGUUCAUACCUAUUUUCCAUCAAUUAGUGUCAGAACUUGCUUAUGUCUAACUAGAUAACAUGAUAUAUUUUUGUAUAUAUGUAGGAUUAUAUACAAGAAUAUACUUUCGUGAUUGGUGCAU